rnacentral:lncRNA from 1 species
UAAGGACGCAUCGGUGCUGGAGAGUUGAGAAUAUGCCUUCCCCUCCACCCUCAACCCAGUCACCUUAUUUGAAAAAAAAUUAAAAAACACCUUUUAUUUAAAAACCUAACCCUGGAAGUUUGCUCGCUGCCCGAAAAUCAUAAGCGUGGUUUUUCCUGUUUCCUGCUCUGUAGCUGACAUCAGGGGAGCAAUGUGAACACAGGAAAAUGGAAAUCAACAUUUGAAACUUUUAAAUGGAAGCUUUAUUGGGUUUCCACAUAUGGAAAACUGCAAAUAGCAGAAGUAUGUGACUCAAUAAAUUAUUCUGGAGUGACCACAUCCUCUAACUGCCUCCCAGGACAAGAAGGAGAAUGUGAACAAUGCUCCUGAAGGCCCCUUUCCCUCAAAGAGAAUCACUGCAAUUGAAGGAAAAAUGCUCCAUGUCCCCUCUGCCAGUUGGUGUUUAUCAAAGGACAACGGAGGAAGAGAGACAAAGUGCCUGGAUGUGUGUGUUAAUCAAGAGUUGUCAGGACCCUGCCUCUAAAAGAAAGCGCUAAAAUGAUGCUUUUGACAAGACUUUUCUCAAAGUGGAUGCAGUCUAAGGGUUGGAAAACAAGGCCCAAUCAGGCUAGGUCUGACUUGUCGCCUGCUUUUGUAAAUAAAGUUUUAUUGGCUCA